UACAGAGGUCUCAAGCGUUGUUCGGAUUCAUUGGGCGUAAAGGGUGCGUAGGUGGUGCUGUAAGUCAGGUGUGAAAUCUCGGGGGCUCAACCCCGAAACUGCACUUGAUACUGCAGUGCUCGAGGACUGGAGAGGAGAUUGGAAUUCAUGGUGUAGCAGUGAAAUGCGUAGAGAUCAUGAGGAAGACCAGUGGCGAAGGCGGGUCUCUGGACAGUUCCUGACACUGAGACACGAAGGCCAGGGGAGCAAACGGG
rnacentral:rRNA from 1 species